GUGUCAAGUCUCAAGUCAAGUUGGUAGAGUCUGGAGGGGAUGUGAGAAGGCCUGGAGAGUCCAUCCGUCUCUCUUACCAAGCCUCUGGGUUCACCUUCAGCAGCUAUUACAUGAGCUGGGCAAGACAGGCUCCAGGGAAAGGCCUGGAAUGGGUGGCCACCAUAACUACAAGCUCCUCUUACAUUUACUACUCAGAUAAAGUCAAGGGAUGCUUCACCAUCUCUAGGGAUGAUUCCUGCAGCCAGCUGUAUUUGCAUAAUGAACAAUCUGAAAUCAGUGGACACAGCAGUCUAUUACUUUGCGAGAGACACA